rnacentral:rRNA from 1 species
GAUGAACGCUGGCGGCGUGCCUAAUACAUGCAAGUCGAGCGAACAGAUGAGGAGCUUGCUCCUCUGACGUUAGCGGCGGACGGGUGAGUAACACGUGGAUAACCUACCUAUAAGACUGGGAUAACUUCGGGAAACCGGAGCUAAUACCGGAUAAUAUAUUGAACCGCAUGGUUCAAUAGUGAAAGACGGUUUUGCUGUCACUUAUAGAUGGAUCCGCGCCGCAUUAGCUAGUUGGUAAGGUAACGGCUUACCAAGGCGACGAUGCGUAGCCGACCUGAGAGGGUGAUCGGCCACACUGGAACUGAGACACGGUCCAGACUCCUACGGGAGGCAGCAGUAGGGAAUCUUCCGCAAAGGGCGAAAGCUUGACGGAGCAACGCCGCGUGAGUGAUGAAGGUCUUCGGAUCGUAAAACUCUGUUAUUAGGGAAGAACAAAUGUGUAAGUAACUAUGCACGUCUUGACAGUACCUAAUCAGAAAGCCACGGCUAACUACGUG